rnacentral:rRNA from 1 species
UACGAAGGGGGCUAGCGUUGUUCGGAAUUACUGGGCGUAAAGGGCGCGUAGGCGGCAAUUCAAGUCAGCUGUGAAAUCUCUGGGCUUAACCCAGAACGGCCAGCUGAUACUGCUUUGCUAGAGUGCAGAAGGGGCAAUCGGAAUUCUUGGUGUAGCGGUGAAAUGCGUAGAUAUCAAGAGGAACACCUGAGGUGAAGACGGGUUGCUGGGCUGACACUGACGCUGAGGCGCGAAAGCCAGGGGAGCAAACGGG